AGGGUUCGAUCAUGGCUCAGGAUGAACGCUGGCGGUAUGCCUAACACAUGCAAGUCGUACGAGAGUUUUUAACUCUAGUGGCGGACGGGUGAGUAACACGUGAGAAUUUGCCUUUAGGAGGGGGAUAACAAUCGGAAACGAAUGCUAAUACCCCAUAUGCUUUUGAGUGAAAUGGAUUUAUAUUUAUCCGCCUAGAGAGAAGCUCGCGGCUGAUUAGCUUGUUGGUAAGGUAAGAGCUUACCAAGGCGACGAUCAGUAUCUGGUUUGAGAGGACGAUCAGACACACUGGAACUGAGACACGGUCCGGACUCCUACGGGAGGCAGCAGUGGGGAAUUUUCCGCAAUGGGCGAAAGCCUGACGGAGCAAUACCGCGUGAGGGAAGACUGCCUAUGGGUUGUAAACCUCUUUUUUCAGGGAGGAAUCAAUGACGUGUACCUGAAGAAUAAGCAUCGGCUAACUCCGUGCCAGCAGCCGCGGUAAGACGGAGGAUGCAAGUGUUAUCCGGAAUCACUGGGCGUAAAGCGUCUGUAGGUGGUUUAAUAAGUCAACUGUUAAAUCUUGAGGCUCAACUUCAAAAUCGCAGUCGAAACUAUUAGACUAGAGUAUAGUAGAGGUAAAGGGAAUUUCCAGUGGAGCGGUGAAAUGCGUAGAUAUUGGAAAGAACACCGAUGGCGAAAGCACUUUACUGGGCUAUUACUAACACUCAGAGACGAAAGCUAGGGUAGCAAAUGGGAUUAGAUACCCCAGUAGUCCUAGCCGUAAACAAUGGAUACUAGAUGUUGAACAGAUCGACCUGUGCAGUAUCAAAGCUAACGCGUUAAGUAUCCCGCCUGGGAAGUAUGCUCGCAAGAGUGAAACUCAAAUGAAUUGACGG
rnacentral:rRNA from 1 species